rnacentral:rRNA from 1 species
CAGGCUGCUUUGAGUUGGGGCAACUAUGGAGCAAAACAAAACCUCCACGAACUAGGACUUCCACCCCCAUUACAGGCCCACAAGCCAAAAAUACUAACAUUUUUGACCCAGUAAUACUGACCAUCGAACCAAGUUACCCCGGGGAUAACAGCGCUAUCCCCUCCAAGAGUCCACAUCACCGAGGGGGUUUACGACCUCGAUGUUGGAUCAGGGCCCCCAGGCGGUGCAGCCGCUGCCAAAGGUUCGUUUGUUCAACGACUAACGCCCUACGUGAUCUGAGUUCAGACCG